CCAAGAACAAGUUUGGAAACUAGCAAUUAAGUAGCAACAGUUAAUGGCGAUUUAUACACAGUUCUAAAUAUUGAGAUAUAAAAACCAUAUUAAUGGACCAAAAGGUUGCAUUUAAUUCCAUACUUGAAGCAAUAACAUUAUCUUGAACUAAAUUAACUGAAUAGUGCACUCAUAAAUCAAAAAUACUACUCAAUGGAAGAAGUUUCACUUAGUUACAAAUUAAUUGAUACAAGAAAAAACUACUGAAAUCAGAAACCAGGCUAUAGCAUUGUAAUUAAUUAAUCCGCAUGUCAUUACAAACGAUUUCCACAACCCAGCAGCUUCUACAAUAACGUAGGGGAGAGCUGAUUGCCUCAAAUGGCUUCAGUGAUGUUUAAAAUCUGUCAUUCAAGACCUUCAACACAAGCAGAUGUAGAUGAAAUUCGAACCACCAUCAUAGACUCAUAAAGAAAAACACCAAAUAAACUUUCCAAAUUAUUCAAAUCCAUCAAUAGCAACUCAAACCUUAACAAACAAAGAUCAAACAAAAACAGAAUUGAUUUUCCAUGACUAUUUUUACUACUUAGGUUUCUAGCAUGUAUAUGAAUUUAUCACACCAGUUACUUCAACCUAAACUCAAAUUUACAGUCACAUGAAGGAACAUCCAGCAGAUACGUAAACCAAUAAACCAUGAAUAUUUUAUAACAAAACAAAAUUCCAGCGUCAAUUACAUGGCUUGAAGUCAGAAUAGGUACCUUAAAAUGCAGUAAUAGAACUUAGAGUGGCCAAAUAAAAGCUAAAACUAGAGAAGAAACUCGGUAAAACUCAGGAGGCAACAUCAAAUAAGCAGAAAACGGCAAGAACAAACCCCAGAAUGAACCUCGACUUCAAUUCAGAUUAACGUGUGUUUUUGAAGGACAGAUGCAGAGAUUCAAAGCUGCUCAAAUGAGUGUGUGAGUGAGCCUUAUAUAGAGUGUGAGUGUGCAAAA
rnacentral:lncRNA from 1 species